UGCAGGAUGAAGGCCUUCGGGUUGUAAACUGCUGUCACGCUAUAGGAACCGCUGAGGGUUAACAGCGCUCAGCCUGACUAAAGCGAGAGGAAGCACCGGCCAACUCUGUGCCAGCAGCCGCGGUAAGACAGAGGGUGCAAACGUUGUUCGGAAUCACUGGGCAUAAAGCGCACGUAGGCGGCCGACUAAGUCAGGUGUGAAAUCCCCCGGCUCAACCGGGGGAACUGCAUUUGAUACUGGUUGGCUCGAGGUUGGUAGGGGUGGAUGGAACUCCAGGUGGAGCGGUGAAAUGCGUAGAUAUCUGGAGGAACACCGGAGGCGAAAGCGAUCCACUGGGCCAGAUCUGACGCUGAGGUGCGAAAGCUAGGGUAGCAAACGGGAUUAGAUACCCCGGUAGUCCUAGCCGUAAACGAUGGGUACUAGGCAAGGGGGCCACCUAUGUGCCUCUUUGCCGUAGCAAGUGUGUUAAGUACCCCGCCUGGGGAGUAUGCUCGCAAGGGUA
rnacentral:rRNA from 1 species